rnacentral:rRNA from 1 species
UACGUAGGGGGCUAGCGUUGUCCGGAAUCAUUGGGCGUAAAGAGCGUGUAGGCGGCCAAACAGGUCAGCUGUGAAAACUCGAGGCUCAACCUCGAGACGUCGGUUGAAACCGUUUGGCUAGAGUCCGGAAGAGGAGAGUGGAAUUCCCGGUGUAGAGGUGAAAUUCGUAGAUAUUGGGAAGAACACCGGUGGCGAAGGCGGCGAGCUGGUCCAUUACUGACGCUGAGGCGCGACAGCGUGGGGAGCAAACAGG